rnacentral:lncRNA from 1 species
GUGCCUGAAGGCCCCUGGAGUGUCCAGUCAUUCUUUAGAGUGAGAGAGAGAGCAAGAGAGCAAGUCAGAGAGAAAAAAGAACCGUGUCACGGACUUUCAGGAACAAUCGUCAGAGUUCCCCUGUCAGAGAACUGUAAGCUGCCACUGGCUUCCUCCACCUCCUCCCCAGGGGAUGUCACAGAGCCACAGCUAAAGACAUGUCUGUGUUCCCUGGACCUCCAAGCAGCCUAGAAUUCUUGGUGGGGGUGCUCACCUUUCUGGUGGAAAUCCCCAGGGGCCUGGAGGCAGGUCCCAAAACACAAGUUCCAGGCGCUUUAACUCUGCCCUGUGCAGUGUCGCUCGUAGAAGUCACUUCCUCACAGGGGAGCUCGGUUACCCCAUCUGUAAAAUAAGGAGUGGUAGCAGGUGGUCUCCAAGGCCCCUCUGGCCUCGAAGAUUCAGGAACCCUAUGGCCAGGGCCACCCGAGGCAGCAGGGAGUCAUAAGUGGCCACAUGCUCAGGUCAGGUAGCACCACUUCCUGGCCCUGAGAACAAACCUCUAAACAGACACCAGGUCACAGGGCAUUGGUCUCAGUAGCCAAGUGGGAUGCAGAUCCCAGUGGUGUGGGAACUACAGCUCCUGGCGUGUCUCCCGUGCGCCGCACGACGUUUUCCUUCUGAAUCCUUAGAGCAACCUGCUGGGAAUUCUUCUGCAGCCACGUAUCGGCUCAGAGAAGCAAGAUGCCCAGGCCAAAGUCACAGAGCCCCGGGUGGCGGAGCAGCAUUAGCACCAGGUCUGUGGGACUCCAGGUCCCGAGACAAGGUCCUUAACUUCUCUGAACCUCAGUUUCUGCAUCUGUAAAUGGGGAUGAUGAUAAUACCGACUUCACCUGACUAUCAGGGGUGAAAGCAGGGCAGGGUGCACGGCCCACGAGAAGUGCUCAAAAGGCUUCGAGAUUGGAUUCCGACGAUGACUUCGGCCCUUCAAAAUCAGGGAAAGGGGCUAAAAUGGUAAAUUAUGCUUACGGAGUGUUUUCACAUCCAUCAGCUCUACUUGAGCCUCCCGAGUUGGCAAGGCAGGUCAGAUGUCCUCCGGCCCCAGGUAGAUUCAACUGCACACCUUCCGGGGCUCCUGGGAAAGACAGCAUGGCACCCUCUGGCUGGAACGUGAAUCCAGACCUCUACCCCAACCUGGGCCAGCCCUGGCCUGGCCCUCUCAGCAGGUGACAUUGAGGCCU